GAUGAAGAACGUAGCGAAAUGCGAUAAGUAAUGUGAAUUGCAGAAUUCAGUGAAUCAUCGAAUCUUUGAACGCACAUUGCGCCCGCGAGUAUUCUCGCGGGCAUGCCUGUCCGAGCGUCAUUUCAACCCUCAGGGCCCGCCUGCUUGCUGGCGCGGCGCUGGUGUUGGGGAUCGGCUACCCUGCCGUCCCCCAAAUACAGUGGCGGUCUCGCUGCAGCCUCCCCUGCGUAGUAGCAACACUCGCAUGCGGAGCGCGGCGCGGCCACGCCGUAAAACCCCCGACUUUCUGAACGUUGACCUCGGAUCAGGUAGGAAUACCCGCUGAACUUAAGCAUAUCAAUAAGCGGAGGA
rnacentral:misc_RNA from 1 species